rnacentral:lncRNA from 1 species
GCUAGUCGACUUUUCAUAGGAAUUUUUCUUACUGAAAUGUUAUAAUGAAUAAAUCUGUAAAAGGUAAUUGAGAAAAUAUACACAUCUAAUAGUGUAACAAAUUUUUCCUGUGGACACACAAUUUUGGAGUAUUUAUUAUAUCGUUCUGGAUUUCAGAGAUUAACAUUAAGUAAAGGAGAUGUGGUGUGUAUAAUUUUAAUGAGACGUGUAGCACAAAGGUCCUUAUACAGUCCCUGAUAUCAAACUAUGCAAGGAAUAUCAGGUUAAGUGAAUUAUGAAUUCCACAAAAAUGACUAGUUUACAAAACAUGUUUGAUGAAAAUAAAGACAGUAUUUAUAUCAAAUUUGUAACAAAUUUUUCACCUUACUGAAUCUGUUUACCUUCAAUUUCAAUUAAGGUACAAGCCUCAUAGACAUGCAAAGGA